rnacentral:rRNA from 1 species
CCUACGGGGAGCAGCAGUGGGGAAUAUUGCACAAUGGGGGAAACCCUGAUGCAGCGACGCCGCGUGAGUGAAGAAGUAUUUCGGUAUGUAAAGCUCUAUCAGCAGGGAAGAAAAUGAUGGUACCUGAUUAAGAAGCCCCGGCUAACUACGUGCCAGCAGCCGCGGUAAUACGUAGGGGGCAAGCGUUAUCCGGAUUUACUGGGUGUAAAGGGGGCGUAGACGGCAGCACAAGUCUGGAGUGAAAUGCCGGGGCUUAACCCCGGAACUGCUUUGGAAACUGUGCAGCUAGAGUGCAGGAGAGGUAGGUGGAAUUCGUGGUGUAGCGGUGAAAUGCGUAGAUAUUAGGAGGAACUCCGGUGGCGAAGGCGGCUUACUGGACUGUAACUGACGUUGAGGCUCGAAAGCGUGGGGAGCAAACAGGAUUAGAUACCCUGGUAGUC